ensembl:lncRNA
AUUUUAAAUACUUUAAUCCUGCCAGCUGUUUACCUGCAGGGGCUAGAGAGAUUUACAUUUUGCCUCAGUGCAUAAUUUAGUUUUUGGGGAAUGAGGGUAGGCAAGGUUCCUUUCUUUUGAAGCGUCAGACAAUGGCUGCAGAAUGUGAGGGUAUUUUGGGGCAGAAUUUAUGGCUUUUUUUUUUUUUUGAUAUUGCAGAAAAACCUUUCUUGGCCCUCCUCAAUGGUUUAGGAAGAUCCUGACUGUCAGGGUGUAUCAAGUUAAGUGCAACAUGAAGAAUGAGGCAAUAUGAAGAAAAAUCAUACGUACAGAGACAGCAAAGGUCAUUCAAGUGCACAGAUGUGGGAUGUUCAGCAUACUGGCCAAAAAGAAAUUCCAAACUCCAGAAAACGUAGCACCAGGAUGGAAUACAUAUAACCACAUCACUAGAAGAAUGACUGUGAGUCUUUAAGGCAGUGCCUAUGGAAAAGAAUAAAAGGCCCAACAGGCGCCGAGAUCUGGUCAGAAAAAAAUUGCUAGGAAGAGAAAAAUGGAUCACGAUCCUAGAAAGAGACCCUGAGCACGUAUGAAAGACCAUAUGGUAAUGAUCAAAGUUGAGGAAAAACAAAAAGCUGCCUUCCACCUGCAAAACAGAAUUGUCUGAAGAUAGUGAAAUGGGAAUGCUUUGAAGAUAAGCCAUCAUGCACUGUGGGAAAAGGAGGCAAGAAGUGAAACCUGGUUUUGAGACAAUUUCCUAAGGUGCACUCUGUGAUUGGUGAGCGGGGGAGCCAGGUGCUGAUUAUUUUCUACUCUGUUCUAACAUGUAAAAGUCAGCAGAAGUGCUAAUUGCAUUUGUUACCUGCUUUUCCUCAUAACCUUCCUUCCUGUGGAUAGAAAGCAGACAGAGGAGAAACUGAACAUGAUCCCAGCUCUUUCUUUGGAAAAAAGUACUUCAGGUAGUCACUCAUCCCCCCUUCAGGAUUCCUUUAUUGCCUUCAGUGGUCUUCUCCUGGUGCGCUUCAAGAAGAUAAAGGCUUAAGUUCAAACAUGGGCUCUGCAGUUUCUCCCUCCUAUGUUUCUCGAUCAGUCUGAAAUCUGAAGGCAGGCACUGAUGGAAAUUGAGGAUGCUAUUUUUGAGGUCACAGCAAGAGAACAGAUCUAACUCUCAGGGAAGGCACAAACACACAGCAUGUAGUAUUGAUGUACCUCGUGACGUGCCACGAGUGUGUACAGCUCACAGGUGUAUCAGCAGUACUGCACAGAGGCCCCACCUGAAGAAAAAUCUCCACACAGUUUGACAGGAGCAGCACCCCAGGUAACGCACACCACCAAACAGAUGCUACUCACAUCAGUUCUGGUAGCCAGAAAACUCUUUAGCUGACAAAUUCCAAAACUUUGUGUGUGGAAUGAUGCUUUGUUUAUUUUGAAUCUGCAUUCUCAAUACCUUGUUGCUCUGCUUCUGUAAGAAAACAGUAAAUAACAACGGACUAUUCUCUGUAUGACUGAUGGAGUCUGCUACCAUACUCAUCCUCAGUUCUCUCCCACAGACUGAAGAGCUAAUUCCACUCUACAGACUUGCUCCGUAUGAAAGAUACUCCUACUUGGAAGAAUGCUGUUGCCUCUCUAUACUGAAGGGGCU